CAGUCGCCGCGGUAAUACGAAGGGUGCAAGCGUUAAUCGGAAUUACUGGGCGUAAAGCGUGCGUAGGCGGUGAGUUAAGUCUGCUGUGAAAUCCCCGGGCUCGACCUGGGAAUGGCAGUGGAUACUGGCUCGCUAGAGUGUGUCAGAGGAUGGUGGAAUUCCCGGUGUAGCGGUGAAAUGCGUAGAGAUCGGGAGGAACAUCAGUGGCGAAGGCGGCCAUCUGGGACAACACUGACGCUGAGGCACGAAAGCGUGGGGAGCGAACCGGAUUAGAUACCCCCGUAGUCCCUGUCUCUUAUAC
rnacentral:rRNA from 1 species